ACAAUUCAACAAAUGACCUUCCGGGCUUUCCAGUACGAUUCCCGCCCCUGCGCCUGCCUCUCCUGAAGACCCAUCUACGAAUAAUUUCCAUGUGGGGGGCUCGGCUGGCUCCAUCAGGGCCUCCAUUUCUGGGGCUUUGGUAAAUUCGACCAUAAAAUCGGCAAGGGCCUGGCCCUUGAUAGCGUGUCUAGGUCGGAACGUGAGAUCGAACUCGCUGAGCUCGAUAGCCCAUUUCAGUAGGCAUCCUGAC
rnacentral:lncRNA from 1 species